UGAACGCUAUCGGCAGGCUUAAUACAUGCAAGUCGAGGGGCAGCAUGAAGUAGCAAUACUUUGAUGGCGACCGGCAAACGGGUGCGGAACACGUACACAACCUUCCUUUAAGUGGGGAAUAGCCCAGAGAAAUUUGGAUUAAUACCCCGUAACAUUGCGAUAUGGCAUCACAUUGCAAUUAUAGCUUCGGCGCUUAACGAUGGGUGUGCGUAUGAUUAGAUAGUUGGCGAGGUAACGGCUCACCAAGUCUACGAUCAUUAGCUGAUGUGAGAGCAUGAUCAGCCACACGGGCACUGAGACACGGGCCCGACUCCUACGGGAGGCAGCAGUAAGGAAUAUUGGUCAAUGGACGCAAGUCUGAACCAGCCAUGCCGCGUGAAGGAUUAAGGUCCUCUGGAUUGUAAACUUCUUUUAUAUGGGACGAAAAAAGGUCCUUCUAGACCCCUUGACGGUACCAUAUGAAUAAGCACCGGCUAACUCCGUGCCAGCAGCCGCGGUAAUACGGAGGGUGCAAGCGUUAUCCGGAUUCACUGGGUUUAAAGGGUGCGUAGGCGGGUAGGUAAGUCAGUGGUGAAAUCCUGGAGCUUAACUCCAGAACUGCCAUUGAUACUAUCUAUCUUGAAUAUUGUGGAGGUAAGCGGAAUAUGUCAUGUAGCGGUGAAAUGCUUAGAUAUGACAUAGAACACCCAUUGCGAAGGCAGCUUACUACGCAUAUAUUGACGCUGAGGCACGAAAGCGUGGGGAUCAAACAGGAUUAGAUACCCUGGUAGUCCACGCCCUAAACGAUGGAUACUCGACAUACGCGAUACACUGUGUGUGUCUGAGCGAAAGCAUUAAGUAUCCCACCUGGGAAGUACGUUCGCAAGAAUGAAACUCAAAUGAAUUGACGG
rnacentral:rRNA from 1 species